CCUGAACGCUGGCGGCGUGGCUAAGACAUGCAAGUCGUACGGGGGUGGCAGCAAUGCCAUCCAGUGGCGGACGGGUGAGUAAAGAAUCGCUAACGUACCCGAUCUCUGGGAUAGCCGGCCGAAAGGCCGGGUAAUACCGGGUAACAUCGCCCCGCGGCAUCGCGGGGCGCUCGAAGGGCAACCGGUUCGGGAGCGGGCGAUUUCGUAUCAGCUAGUUGGUGGGGUAACGGCCCACCAAGGCGACGACGCGUAGCUGGUCUGAGAGGACGAUCAGCCACACUGGGACUGAGACACGGCCCAGGACUCCUACGGGAGGCAGCAGUGGGGAAUCUUGGAC
rnacentral:rRNA from 1 species